rnacentral:misc_RNA from 1 species
GUAGGUGAACCUGCGGAAGGAUCAUUACACUCAGUAGUUUACUACUGUAAAGGAGGCUGUUAGUCUGUAUAGCGCAAGCUGAUGAGCAGCUAGUCUCUUUUAUCCACCCUUGUCUUUUGCGUACCCACGUUUCCUCGGCAGGCUUGCCUGCCGAUUGGACAAACCUACAACCUUUUUAAUUUUCAAUCAGCGUCUGAAAAACUUAAUAAUUACAACUUUCAACAACGGAUCUCUUGGUUCUG